UACAGAGGUCUCAAGCGUUGUUCGGAUUCAUUGGGUUUAAAGGGUGCGUAGGCGGAAUGAUAAGUCAGCGGUGAAAUCCCUCGGCUUAACUGAGGAACUGCCGUUGAUACUGUCAAUCUUGAGUACAUUUGAUGUGGGCGGAAUGUGUCACGUAGCGGUGAAAUGCUUAGAUAUGACACAGAACACCGAUUGCGAAGGCAGCUCACAAAACUGUAACUGACGCUGAGGCACGAAAGCGUGGGUAUCAAACAGG
rnacentral:rRNA from 1 species